rnacentral:rRNA from 1 species
AUGAAGAAGACGAUGGGCAUUGUCCUAGCAAGCUCCGAGUUGCCAUCCUCCAUGGCACGCGGCGGCAUCCUCGCGAGCUUCAUGCCUCCGGGCUCCAGCUUGAUGAUGUUGACAUUGGCGGCGCCCUCCUUGCGAGCUCCACGCCAUGAUCUUCCGUGGCAAUGGGUUGAUGAUGUUGGCGAUGGGCAUUGUCUUGACGAGCUCUGUGUCACCGUCCUCCGCGGCCCCAUCUUGACGAAUUGGAUAUCCGCGGUGUCCCUAGCUCCACAACGUCGUCCUCGGUGGCUUCAGCUUGAUGGCGAAAGUGACAGGCAUUGUCUUGAUGAUCUCCACACCUCCAUUCUUCAUGGCGCCGGCUUGAUUGAAGGUCAGCAGCCACGUCACCAAGGGCGGACACCAAAAGGAGACCAGCGAGCUGCGCGCCGCCAACACCGCUGA